AACGAACGCUGGCGGCGUGCCUAACACAUGCAAGUCGAACGAGACCUUCGGGUUUAGUGGCGCACGGGUGCGUAACGCGUGGGAACCUGCCCUUAGGUUCGGAAUAACUCCCCGAAAGGGGUGCUAAUACCGGAUAAUGUCUUCGGACCAAAGAUUUAUCGCCUUUGGAUGGGCCCGGGUUGGAUUAGCUAGUUGGUAGGGUAAAAGCCUAGCAAGGCGACGAUUCAUAGCUGGUUUGAGAGGAUGAUCAGUCACAUUGGGACUGAGACACGGGCCAGACUCCUAAGGGAGGCAGCAGUGGGGAAUAUUGGACGAUGGGGGAAAGACUGACCCAGCAAUGCCGAGUGAGAGAUGAAGGCCUUAGGGUAGUAAAGCUAGUUGAACCGGGAUGAUAAUGACGGUACCGGGAGAAUAAGCUCCGGCUAACUCCGUG
rnacentral:rRNA from 1 species